rnacentral:rRNA from 1 species
GACGAACGCUGGCGGCGUGCUUAACACAUGCAAGUCGAACGAAGUAGCGAAAGGUUGAGUAAUACGUGGGUAACCUGCACCACUUUUUGGGAUAAGCAAUGGAAAGGGGGUAUAAUACCGAAUACAGGGGGAUGGGCUCGGGGCCUAGCAGCUUGUUGGUGUGGUGAAGGCCUAACAAGGGGGUGACGGGGAGACGGACUGAGAGGUUGACCGGCCACAUUGGGACGGAUCUACGGCCCAGACUCCUACGGGAGGGAGCAUUUGGGGCUAUGGCACAAUGGGCAAAAGGCUGAUGCAGCGACGCCGCGUGGGGGAUGAAGGCUUUCGGGUUGUAAACCUCUUUCGCGAUCGAGCCGGUAGGUAGAGAAGAAGCGCCGGCUAACUACGUGCCAGCCGCCGCGGUAAUUC